UCCGUUGAAAAGGGUUAGGAUGAGGUGUGGGUAGGGGUGAAAUUCCAAUCGAACGUGGAGAUAGCUGGUUCUCCCCGAAAUAGCUUUAGGGCUAGCCUCAGGGUAAAGAUUGCAGGCGGUAGAGCACUGAUCAGGAGAGGGACCUACCCGGUUACCAAACCCAGUCAAACUACGAAUGGCUGCAAUUAUACCUGGGAGUCAGACUACGACUUAUAAGGGCCGUGGUCAAAAGGGAAACAGCCCAGAUCAUCAGCUAAGGUCCCAAAUGCCGUGCUAAGUGGCGAAGGAUGUGGCGUUUCAUAAACAACCAGGAUGUUGGCUCAGAAGCAGCCACCAUUUAAAGAGUGCGUAAUAGCUCACUGGUCGAGAGACGCUGCGCCGAAAAUGUCCGGGGCUCAAGCACGGAACCGAAGCUAUGGCAUUGCGUAAGCAAUGGGUAGGGGAGCGUUCUUAUGGGGAAGAAGCAUUACCGUAAGGAGAUGUGGACACAUAAGAAGUGAGAAUGCCGGUAUGAGUAUCGAAAAGAAAGGUGAGAAUCCUUUCCACCGAAAGCCCGAGGGUUCCUGAGCAACGAUCGUCGUCUCAGGGUAAGUCGGGACCUAAGCCGAGGCACAGACGCAUAGGCGAUGGACAACAGGUUGAAAUUCCUGUACCGGAUGGAGUCAUUUGAGCAAUGGAGUGACGCAGGAGGGCACAUGAUCGCGCGACUGGAAGAGCGCGUCCAAGUGCGUAUGUUGAAUCGGAGGCAAAUCCCCGAUUCUGAAAGCAGAGACAUGAUGGGGAGUUAUAAGCGAUUAUGACGAACUCAUGGAUCCCACACUGCCAAGAAAAACUUCUAGCGAGACGAAAUCCGCCCGUACCGUAAACCGACACAGGUAGGCGGGGAGAGAAUCCUAAGGUGCGCGGGAAAACCCUCGUUAAGGAACUCGGCAAAUUGCAUCCGUAACUUCGGGAGAAGGAUGGCCCUGAGUAGGCGAAGUGCAGAAACGCACGGAACAGAAAAGGGUGGCAGAAAAGAGGCCCAAGCAACUGUUUACCAAAAACACAGGUGCCUGCGAAAGCGAAAGCUGAAGUAUAGGUGCUGACGCCUGCCCGGUGCUGGAAGGUUAAGGAGAGAGGUUAGCGCAAGCGAAGCUUUGAACUGAAGCCCCAGUGAACGGCGGCCGUAACUAUAACGGUCCUAAGGUAGCGAAAUUCCUUGUCGGGUAAGUUCCGACCCGCAUGAAAGGCGUAAUGAUUUGGGCGCUGUCUCAACGAGGGGCCCGGUGAAAUUGAAAUACCUGUGAAGAUGCAGGUUACCCGCGACUGGACAGAAAGACCCCAUGGAGCUUUACUGCAGCUUGAGAUUGAAUCCCGGUGGCAGACGCACAGGAUAGGUGGGAGGCUUUGAGAUAGUGACUUUGGUUGCUAUGGAGCCGACGUUGGGAUACCACCCUUCUGUUGCUGGGAUUCUAACGCGAAGAUUAACAACCUUGCGGACCAUCUCAGGUAGGCGGUUUGACUGGGGCGGUCGCCUCCGAAAGAGUAACGGAGGCGCCCAAAGGUUCCCUCAGGCCGGACAGAAACCGGCCGAAGAGUGCAAAGGCAGAAGGGAGCUUGACUGCGAGACAGACAAGUCGAGCAGAGACGAAAGUCGGGCUUAGUGAUCCGGUGGUACUGCGUGGAAAGGCCAUCGCUCAACGGAUAAAAGCUACCCUGGGGAUAACAGGCUAAUCUCUCCCAAGAGUUCAUAUCGACGGGGAGGUUUGGCACCUCGAUGUCGGCUCAUCACAUCCUGGAGCUGGAGUAGGUUCCAAGGGUUGGGCUGUUCGCCCAUUAAAGUGGUACGCGAGCUGGGUUCAAAACGUCGUGAGACAGUUUGGUUCAUAUCCAUCGCGGGCGCAAGAAGUUUGAGGGAGGCUGCUCCUAGUACGAGAGGACCGGAGUGGACGGAUCAACGGUGUACCAGUUGUCACGCCAGUGGCACGGCUGGAAAGCCGCAUCCGGAAAGGAUAAACGCUGAAAGCAUCUAAGCGUGAAGCCCGUCCCAAGAUGAGACUUCUCAUCAGCAAUGAGUAAGACCCCUUAAAGACGAUGAGGUUGAUAGGCUGUGAGUGGAAGAGCCGCGAGGCUUGGAGCGACGCAGUACUAAUAGGUCGAGGUCUUAACUUA
rnacentral:rRNA from 1 species